rnacentral:lncRNA from 1 species
CAUAAUUUUGUUAUGCACAUGAGAACAUGAGGAAUGCAUGAAAUUUAUGGAUCGUCAUGAACAAAAACUAACAUGUCACGGGCAGACAAAUGCUGAGAUAGAUCAAACGUUCCUUAUGCGGUGUUUCUUUAUUGAAAAAGAAGUGUUAUGAGACUAAUAUGAUCUUUACAAUGCCACCACAUCUCAAUAAUCUUGAAAAAUGAAAUAUUGAUUGUUAUUAUUAUAA